UGUUAUCCUAUCUCUGCAAUUUAAGCUAUAUUGUGAUCAUAUAAUAGUAGUGUUGCUCAGACUCUCAUGCGUCCCUCGGAGCCCGCUACCAUGUGUUGAAAUAGCUUGUUUGGAAACUUAAAAUUGCGCGUCGUUGUCGUCGCCAAUGUCAUAUUCCUUUUCUCUCGCCACGGCAUUGUUCGACAUUGUGCAGAAAAGGAAUGUCAGGCUCCCUUCUGGUAAUUCAUGCUGGUAGUUCAUGGUGAACAGUAGGAUUCAAGGGGAAGACGUCGAGCACUGAAGUGUUGCCUAUCAAGCAAAAACUAUUGUUUUCUGUUGGAAAAUCAGUGUGUAUUGGGUACAUAUCUGCUGUGCCGUGUGCACUUGGUGUUUUCUCGCUGAAAACCGUAAAAAUUCAAAUUGGGAGUAUAUUUACAUGUAAAGUUACUGAAAACAGUAAGUUGUGUUCCCUGUUGGGGCUUUUACAGACCUCCUUGCUGUCCACGCCCUGCGAAUACUGGGUUCGUGCGUGAAGGGUUCCGAAGCAAUAAAGAACAUGUUUGUGCAUUAUGAUACACCUGUGCCGGUGACACCGUGCAUCAUGUUCACUGGGAGCAGCAUUGAAGAAGCGGAGCAUAUGGACCUCUAUGUCGGCGAGUAGCGCCUUCUCAGAACUAUCGACCUUGAAGAGGGCUUGGCUGCCAUUCUUGCAGCUAUUGGUUAAUUCAUAUUGUCUACAGUGCAAAGCCGCACCGUACAUUUUGAAGCCUUGAAGAGCGGUGCCUGAAAGUGAGUGACUCUCGUGUAAGAAGCCCCGUGGAUCAAUUUUUUCAACAGUUACGGAAAAGAGCUUGUGGAUGCUUCGAACAUCUAAAACAUUUGCUACUUUAACUGACUUGUAGUGUGCCCUGCAUCCCCCCCUCCCCCGCCCACCUCCCAAACAGGCAGCCAUUUCGUCAAGGAAUUGGAAAUUCUUCGGAAGCACGGGUGUGUUCUUUCUUGUUCUUUGGCACUGAACUCUCAUAAGCCUGGGGGAUUACCAUUCUUCUGGCAAUGUAGCCGUCCAUUUGUCAACAUACCUGGCACAGCGCAUUACAUUUAGGGAAAUUACUUUGGGUAUUCUGUGCUUCCAUUUCUAGUCUUUAGUAUGUGCUCUUGUUAAGAGAUAGUCUUCUAUCCGUUUUCUUUUUUCUGUUUGCCAGAAAAGCUGUUUUCUUUCGUAAAAGCUGUUUGCUGGCUGUUUUCAUUACCCUUUCGCAUCAACGCUAUUUGCAGUAGCUUCUUAUUUGGUGUACUGGAUCUGUAGUGGUGCCUUAUGUGGAUUUAAACAUUUAAUAUGCCUUUUCAUCUUAUUUUUUGUCUCAUUGCUGCUGUUUCAAUUAGUUAUGUCAUCAAGGACUCAGUUCUGCUUUGCCUUCCUUCCACAUACUGUGCAUAUUGUUCCACUCUGGGCAACGUUAUAAGGAAUUUAGUUUCACAUGUGUACAUGCACUUGUACUUCGCCAAUAAACAUAACUUUGUCGUCA